rnacentral:lncRNA from 1 species
CCGCUCCGGGUCUGGACCUCCUGGCGUUUGGAUUGGAGACUGUGUUCUCUUCGCUGUUUAGUUAGCGAGCAGCUAGGGUGGAGUCGGCCUCAAAGGUUCCGCUCUCAUGUCGGCAAGUGUGAUUUGAAUUUUAAAACACUGAGCUUUGCCGGUGGAAGAGUUCCCAAGUUUAUUCCGACCUACGGAAGCCCAGGAGGACCAGGAUUACCGCUGCCGCUGGAUGCGUCCAGGGCCGGGAUGCGCGACCGUGAGACGCUGCGCUUCCGAAGCCCUCGCAGGCUUCCGGGUGCCAGAGCAGGAGACAUACCCUCUGUCCAGCCUUCCACUCUCAGCCCCCA